CUUGGUCAAGCGGUUAAGACACCGCCCUUUCACGGCGGUAACACGGGUUCGAGUCCCGUAGCGUA
rnacentral:tRNA from 1 species